rnacentral:rRNA from 1 species
GGAUGCGAUCAUACCAGCACUAAAGCACCGGAUCCCAUCAGAACUCCGAAGUUAAGCGUGCUUGGGCGAGAGUAGUACUAGGAUGGGGGUGACCUCCUGGGAAGUCCUCGUGUUGCAUUCC